CCUACGGGAGGCAGCAGUGGGGAAUAUUGCACAAUGGGCGGAAGCCUGAUGCAGCGACGCCGCGUGAGGGAUGAAUGCUUCGGGUUGUAAACCUCUUUCAGUAGGGAAGAAGCCUUCGGGGUGACGGUACUUGCAGAAGAAGCGCCGGCUAACUACGUGCCAGCAGCCGCGGUAAU
rnacentral:rRNA from 1 species